GCUGAAGUCUAUCCCCAAAGGGCUUAGCUGAAGACCCACAUCAUUGGAAACACCUCACAGAGUAAACAUGUGGUUCUAUUUACUCACAGAAGUACGUAUUAGAUCCAUGGGAAAGAACCACAAGGCAGAG
ensembl:snoRNA